rnacentral:lncRNA from 1 species
UACAAGUUCAUAAAGUGGAGAUGUGGGAGAAGGAAUCCAAAUUCAACCUAAAAUUAAGCAGAUGUGAAGUAAAUCCCAAGGAAGAUUGAAGAGUGCAAGGAAAAAGGUAUAACCAUAAGGCAUAUGGGGAUGCUCAAGUUGUUAAGAGAUCAGAAGAUAUAUUAACAGAGAAAGUGUGAAGUCAUCAUACAAGAGUACUUCGUUGGUAAAUCAAGUUUGGUAUAGGCGGACUUGUUGAUUCCUCAGUUACUAGACAGAAGAAGGAAAUCAGAAAGUAAUAGAACAAGACUUGGAUAUGCGAAAUUUCAGUGAGAUUGAGUCGUUCAGAAGUUUUUGAAGAGUAUCUCAGAUAGAUAAGAAGGGUAUGGAAUACUGUAAGGGAAAUCAUUUCUGGAAUAAGUGUGUUUGUGUGUAUUUGAGAUUGGCACCCUUGGUCUGAAUCAUGUUAGCGUGAUUGAUCGUGCAUGUUCU